CAUGAAAUCAUACAAGUUGGAAAUAUCCUGCAGUUUUUAUCGUUGUUUUGGACGAUGGAAAGAAUUGGACGUUAUGGGGAAAGUUUUGCAGGUUAGAUGCCAUUGAAACCAGUCUCUUGAAAUAUUCCCGGACACCUUGAUACCCACGGCAUGACAUACAGUUCCUGUAAGUGCUGACUUACCGUCAAAGCAGUGACUUGUGUAACACCUAAUGGUGCAAUCACUUAUUUUUCAACUUUGAAUACAGGAUCAACAUGUGCUCCACAGCAGAAUUCCCGCAAAACCCACGACUGGAAUUAAGCACUGUUUUUCUUUUAAAAUUUGAUAUAAUUUUCUUCAUUUAUUAUUUUUUGCAAAUCCUUUAUGAAUAAAAUAAUUCGUGUGUGUCAAAUAGUUUAGUAUAAAUAAAAAUGCACUGCUGAU